GAAGAGAUGGCUAAGUGGACUAAAGCGCCGGAUUGCUAAUUCGUACCAAGGGUUCGAAUCCCUCUCUUUUCA